AAAAAAUCUACCCGAAUCCCCUUGACAAAAUGAGCCUCAAUCUAAUGUUAAAAAUUAACAUUUCCGGGUGAACCUCAACUUUAAGAGUUUUAGGAACUCUUCUGCUUCGACAUUAAAUAAAAAAUUAGAGGUUUUGAGGAACCACACAACCGUGACUCAUUAUGACCAGCUAUAAUUGGCCUUUUUUUUUAAUGAUUUUAAUCAAGAAAUCAAGAAAAUAAAUAUGUCAUUAUUUUUAAAUACAAAAUAUUUUAUUUUCUCUAAUAAAUAAUGAAUUAGAAAAGCACUAAAGUACUAAAGAGCUUAGGAACUCUUCUGCUUCGACAUUAAAAUAAAAAUGAAAGGUUUUGAGGAACCACACAACCGUGACUCAUUAUGACCAGAUACAAAUUUUUAAAACUUUUUUUAAAAAUGAUUUUAGUUUACAGAAAUAUAUGAUUAUUUAAAAAAAAUAUAUAUUUGAUUUGCUCUAAUAAAUAAUGAAUUAGAAAAGCACUAAAGUUCUAAAGAUUUUAGUAACAUUUCUGCUUCAACAUUAAAAUAAAAAAGAAAGUUUUGAGAAACCAAACAAUCAUGUAAAUGUCAAUUAAAAAAAAAAAAAAAUGUUUUAAAAAUAAUUUUAAUUUACGGAAACAAGUCAUUAUUUUUAAAUAGAAAAUAUCAGAUCAACUCAGAUUUAAAUAAUUAUUAAACCAAGUUUUAGGACUUAAUAAAAGAUGUCAUUUAAAAAACACUUCAAGCACAUAUUGUUUAAAAAAAAGAUUAUUUUUAAAACCACAAGUACAUUUUUAGAAUAAUUAACAAUGAUGUGUUUGGUUUGUGUGUAUAUAUAUAUAUAUAUAUACUCUACAAAAGGCAGUGCCUCUGACUUCUUUUAAAAGUAAGUGACUUUGUUAUAUUUGCUGCUGCAGAUUUGCUGUAUAUAAAGCUACAGAUACAACUUUUUAAUUUUUCUCCCUUCUCACACGGUGGGCGCCUUUUUACUUUAUCCAAAACCUGACUUCUAGAACUUGUAAAAAAUAACCAGCAUGUCAACACACUUCUUCUUCUUCUUUUUUUUUUAUUUAAAUCCCUGCAAAGGGCCUUGUUUCUAAGUCCUACUACUAAAUGAUAAUUAAAAAAAAAAUUCAAAUAAAAAAAAUUGUAAAAGAAACAAACAAACCACAAAGGCCCAUAUCUUUUAGCAUUUCGGUAAAUUGCUAUAUACAAUUUAUUAUUACAUUUUGGAUCAAGAUUCCUUAGCCAGCUGCUUUUUUUGUAAUGUAAAAAAAAAAGUAUGACAAUAAGUUUUAUAUUGUGAUUCUUUCUUAAGAAAAAUGAAAAAAAAAACUGAUACAUCGGGAUUUUUCAUAUUUUCCCCAACCUAAUGAAAAAAAAAAAAAAAAGAAAGUGAAACUGUUUUCUGCUAAAUAAAAGAUUUGUUCCCCUAAAAAAAAAAAUGUUUUAUAUUUUGUUUGAGAUAACUGCUGGCUUAUUGUAAUGGAUGAAAUAAUUUAUUGUAAAAAACAAAAAAAGCUAACUGAUCUUGCUUUUAAUUUCUUAAGGAAAACUGCAUAGCAAAAAAAUAAAAAUAAAAUUCAGUUUUUGCUUCUAUUUUCUCUACUUAGACUUUGUAGGAGUUAAGGAAAGAAUGUACUGUAAGAUGGAAUUUAAAAUUGAAUACUUUCCAACGAGCUGUUUGGCGAUUUAACGAAUCCUUUUUUUUUAAGGUUUGCUCUGGAGAAUAAAAUACAAAAAUAUAUUUUAAGGAACAGUCACUUCUUUAGAAAAUUAAAAACAAAACAAAAAAAAAAACAAAAAACACAAAAAAUAAAAAAUGUAACAAUGCAUUAAACAAAAGAGACGAGAAUGUAAGGUGCCCUAUGAUAAUCAUCUGAAUUCAGAUGCCUGUGGCGUGUCGCUAAAGAAAAAAAACUUUAAUUUAGUUUGGUGACCCCUUUUUUCCCAGCCGGGCGGACCUGCGUCAAAUUUGGAGAUGUAUAAGACGCGGGUUCUCCUGGCGGGGGAAGUGGGGCAUGGGGCUGCAAAAAUACUGCUUUGUGCUGUUAUAAUAUUGGCUUGUUCAAUGUUUAAUUAUUCUGUUAUUGUAAAUAAAGUCAUUUAAAAUUCUGAA